rnacentral:rRNA from 1 species
AGGACGAACGCUGGCGGCGUGCUUAACACAUGCAAGUCGAGCGGAAAGGCCCUUCGGGGUACUCGAGCGGCGAACGGGUGAGUAACACGUGAGCAACCUGCCCUUAGCUCUGGGAUAGCUCCGGGAAACCGGAAAUUAAUACCGGAUAUUACACCGGCUGGCAUCGGCUGGUGUGGAAAGAUUUAUCGGCUAAGGAUGGACUCGCGGCCUAUCAGCUUGUUGGUGGGUAGAAGCCUACCAAGGCGACGACGGGUA